rnacentral:rRNA from 1 species
GACGAACGCUGGCGGCGUGCUUAACACAUGCAAGUCGAACGCUGAAGCUCAGCUUUUGUUGGGUGGAUGAGUGGCGAACGGGUGAGUAACACGUGAGUAACCUGCCUCCUUCUUUGGGAUAACGCCCGGAAACGGGUGCUAAUACUGGAUAUUCACUGGUCUUCGCAUGGGGGUUGGUGGAAAGGGUUUUUCUGGUGGGGGAUGGGCUCGCGGCCUAUCAGCUUGUUGGUGGGGUGAUGGCCUACCAAGGCUUUGACGGGUAGCCGGCUUGAGAGGGUGACCGGUCACAUUGGGACUGAGAUACGGCCCAGACUCCUACGGGAGGCAGCAGUGGGGAAUAUUGCACAAUGGGCGCAAGCCUGAUGCAGCGACGCCGCGUGAGGGAUGGAGGCCUUCGGGUUGUGAACCUCUUUCGCUCAUGGUCAAGCCGCAACAAUGGUUGUGGUGAGGGUAGUGGGUAAAGAAGCGCCGGCUAACUACGUG